AAAAAAAAACAAAACAUUAGUUUUCGCCGUUACGUUAUCAGGCGGAGGAAUAUUUCCGCCAUUGUCUGUAGUGCGGCAGUUUAAAGCGCCGCACCAACACACGACUUCAAAGAAAAAGAAACACCGAGUUCAUUUAUUGACCAGUAUGUAAUAGUUUUAUAUUUAAAGUACUUUCAGCAGUUAGAAUUCUGAUUUUGACCGGGCUUUUCCUUUAACAAGUUUCCCAAUGUCGUGCAUUUGUGCUCUGUACAGCGGUUCCUAAUUCAAGGAACCGUUUUGCCCACCUCCGAUCAACAAUUAUUUUGGAUUUCGGGAGGACUUCACCAUUGAAAUUUGUUACAGCUAUUGUUUAAGCAACAAUGACCACGUGCGUGGCUGUUGGAUGUUCCACUACAUAGGGAAAAGGUGAAAAAAAACAUUACGGUUUUCACCGUGAAGUUAUGAGGCGGAGGAAUAUUUCCGCCAUUGUCUGUAGUGCGGCAGUUUAGAGCACAAACAAACGAGUUCAGAAGUUUUGUCGUGUAGUAAUAAAUCCAAAGUGUAGGCUUAUGUCUAUAAUCUAAAUAACACAGAUUGAAAUGUUUAUAUCUUGUUUUCUAUUCUUCAGUGGACCACCUGGCACAACUACAGAAAAUGACCACAGCAUUGACCUGUAUGAAUGUUCAGAUAUUGGAGACACACAGAUGAAAGAUGAACAACAAGGACCGUGUUUCGGUGUAAAGACAACUGAAGAGCCGGCGCUCAACCAAGCGGAUUUGCCCCAAACAACUUACGACAUAGAUAUAUCAAAGGCCAAGGACCGGAUUAGUGAAAUGGACGACUCUGGAAAACUCCAACUUCUUCAGACCAGAAAACCACCCAAAUCUUUCAAUUUCCCUGCCAGAGACUUUAAAGACAUCCGAAGAGCCAGUGGGGUGA